CAUCCCCCGCCGCAGCCACUAUCCCUCCAACCGACUAUGGAGAAUAGUGACGCACACGCGCACUAUAGCGGAAUACGCAAAAAGAUGCAAACUAGAUAGCGACAGAGUAGACCUCACACGAAAUGCUAGCUAAAAUACGUAAAAAAGUGUACAAAGUAAAACAAGAGAGCGGGAGGUACCAACUCCCGGUGGAAAAACCUGAAAGUAGGCUUUGAUGCGCCCAAGGUCAACUGCUACCGACUCUUGCACGUCACGGCCGGUGUUGCUUAGCUCUUCACUCCCAAACGCC
rnacentral:lncRNA from 1 species